UACAGAGGGUGCGAGCGUUAAUCGGAAUUACUGGGCGUAAAGGGUGCGUAGGUGGUUUGGUAAGUUAGGUGUGAAAGUCCCGGGCUUAACCUGGGGAUUGCGCCUGAUACUGUCAGACUAGAGUACUGUAGAGGAAAGUGGAAUUUCCGGUGUAGCGGUGAAAUGCGUAGAUAUCGGAAGGAACACCAGUGGCGAAGGCGACUUUCUGGACAGAUACUGACACUGAGGCACGAAAGCAUGGGGAGCAAACAGG
rnacentral:rRNA from 1 species